AGAGCUAGACCUUUCUUCCUAUUCAUCUAACAGUGAUUGGAUAUGGGGAGCUGUCUAUAGGAAGCGGGGGUGAUCUUGGGUGAGAAUGCUCUCUUCUGCUGAGAACAACUGCCAGAGGACUCAACUGAGCACCUUUAACCAUUAGCUGAGGCUUCUUAGCAGUCUGCCAUAGCAACUCAAGUAAUGCAACUUUACUCAGCAUGGACCGUCACUUUCUCCAGACUUCUAAGAGAUGCCAUAGCAGAAAAUUUAUGCCUUUCCCUGCAGUCCUUGUCAAGUGUUAAAUCCCAUGGCCUUAUAUCCUGAGAGGAUGGCUCUAAAUCAAUAAACUCUCCUUUAUCUA
rnacentral:lncRNA from 1 species